CACGUAGGGGCCAAGCGUUGUCCGGAUUUAUUGGGCGUAAAGAGCUCGUAGGCGGUUCAGUCAGUCGGGUGUGAAAACUCCGGGCUUAACUCGGAGAGGCCACCCGAUACUGCUGUGACUUGAGUCCGGUAGGGGAGUGUGGAAUUCCCGGUGUAGCGGUGAAAUGCGCAGAUAUCGGGAGGAACACCAGCGGCGAAGGCGGCACUCUGGGCUGGAACUGACGCUGAGGAGCGAAAGCGUGGGUAGCAAACAGG
rnacentral:rRNA from 1 species